CCUACGGGUGGCUGCAGUGGGGAAUCUUUCACAAUGGGCGAAAGCCUGAUGGAGCAACGCCGCGUGAAGGAUGAAGGCCUUCGGGUUGUAAACUGCUUUUAUAAGCGAGAAAUAUGAUGGUAACUUAUGAAUAAGGAUCGGCUAACUACGUGACAGCAGCCGCGGUCAUACGUAGGAUCCGAGCAUUAUCCGGAGUGACUGGGUGUAAAGAGUGGCGUAGGUGGCAUAAUAAGUAGCUAGUGAAAUCUGGUGGCUAAACCAAUCAGACGAUUAGCUAAAAUGUUAAGCUCGAGACCGUUAGUGGUAACUGGAAUUUCUAGUGUAGGAGUGAAAUGCGUAGAUAUUAGAAAGAACACCGAUAGCGGAGGCAGGUUACUGGACCGUUUCUGACACUAAGGCACGAAAGCGUAGGGAGCAAACGGGAUUAGAUACCCGUGUAGUC
rnacentral:rRNA from 1 species